GACGAACGCUGGCGGCGUGCCUAACACAUGCAAGUCGAACGAUGAUGGAUGAGCUUGCUCAUCCUGAUUAGUGGCGCACGGGUGAGUAUACCAUAGAUAAUGUACCCCUUAGUUCGGGAUAGCCACUGGAAACGGUGAUUAAUACCGGAUACUCCUUCUUGCCAUAAGGUAAGUCGGGAAAGUUUUUUCGCUAAGGGAUCAGUCUAUGUCCUAUCAGGUAGUUGGUGAGGUAACGGCUCACCAAGCCUAUGACGGGUAUCUGGUUUGAGAGGAUGAUCAGACACACUGGAACUGAGACACGGUCCAGACUCCUACGGGAGGCAGCAGUGAGGAAUAUUGCACAAUGGAGGAAACUCUGAUGCAGCAACGCCGCGUGGAGGAUGACGCAUUUCGGUGUGUAAACUCCUUUUAAGAGGGAAGAUUAUGACGGUACCUCUUGAAUAAGCACCGGCUAACUCCGUGCCAGCCGCCGCCGUAACAC
rnacentral:rRNA from 1 species